GUGGCGGCUCAGCGGCAGAGGGCUCGCCUAGCAAGCGGGAGGCCCUGGGUUCGAUUCUCAGCACCACA
rnacentral:tRNA from 1 species